AGAGAAAACACCAAGAGAUGAUCAUGAUGAUACCAAAAUUCAGUUGCAUCUGCAAAAUAUGGGAGAGAAAGUAGCGCCGAGUUCAGGGUUGUUUCUGAAUUGUUUCUACCUUGGCUUGAAUCCUUCUCCUGCUGUACUGUAUUGAUCAGAGCAUUUAGCCCGAAUUGUUGCAGAAACAAUAUUCUAUGGGUAAAUCAAUGUAAAGUUACAGACAAAAAGGCGUUAGCUACAUGCACAACUCGUUACCGUCGAUGUUGAACGUACAUACAUAACAAUAGGUAGCAUAAAAUGAGACUUGCAUCCGCUUCAGUUGAAUAAUAGAGCGUUUCUUCACCGCAAGUGGUUCUUUCUGCUAUUGAAAUGACUGUACAUAACCGAGCGACACAUUUCUAGUGUUUUUUUGUUUGGCAUUUGAUUUGUCGCCCUUUUUACAGGAAAACGCAGCUGACGGAGCUGAGUGUGUAUUCACGUCAGACAGAAAGUGUGCUUAUUCUUUAUUAACUCUGCGCGGAGAGAUUAUGCGAAUAACGGAUAAAGCGGGCUACUUAUUGCUACUUAGAAGUGUAGUUUGGUAAAUUUGUACUUUUGUUCAAGCAAGGGGGUGAAUAAAAAAAAAAAAAAAAAAAAAAAAAAAAAAAAAAAAAAAAAAACUGCGGCUUUAGUCUAGUAGUAUAGUAAGAUGAGGCGGACACAUACUCUGCAACAGCGACGGAGAGCAGCUCCCUCCUUCACUCUCUUCCUCACUUCUUUUCCACCCUGGCUGAGAUCCCCAAAUUUAGUGAGUCCAGUCCAGUUCAGUCCAGUCAAAUCAAGUCCAGUCCAGUCUAGUCCAGUCCGGUCCGGUCCGGUCCGGUCCGGUCCACUUUCCUACACGCUGUGCAUUCUGCGAGGCGUCGGGGAUGCGCCGUUCGACAGCUCACACUGGCUCUGUCUCGUGACUCCUCCUGGAAGUGGAAGCGGGAAAAACGUAGUCCAAAGGUUUUCUAUUCUUCUUCUUCUUCUUCUUCACACAGCAGCCCCUGCCCUCUGCGCUGCCCCCGCUUCACUCUGCAGACGCAGCGGGUUUCGACUUCCUGAAGCUUCCCGAGCGCGCGGCGAGUUCCUCCCUGAGCAGCCGACGCUCCUCGUGUGCCUGUCGCCGCCGUUCCGCGUUCCCGCCAACUGGGCUGCUCGUCCUCGUUUGACACGUCACACUGCGCGCUUUUCUACAAAGAACCUACACAAGAAAAACAAACUGGGGCAUAACAACAACUGAAGAGAGGGAGAGGGCAGCCACUCAUGUCAUGGGUGGAAAAUCCAUCAGCUCAGUGGCAAGAGACAGAAAUAUUGACAGGUCAACUCUGAAGAGGUAUGAAUUCAAAGAAGAGAGCUUGUGACUGUGGUCUGUGCAGUCAAUGCAACUGGGAAUGCAGUCCCUCCCAUGUUUAUAUUCCCAAAAGUUAGAUACAAAGACCACUUCAUUACAGGAGCACCUCCAGCAUCAGCUGGUACCUCCACCAGAUCUGGCUGGAUCAAUGAAGACACCUUUGUUGAGUUUCUUGAACAUCUGGUUAACACCAAGUGCCCCUCUGACCAGCCUAUGCUGCUAAUCCUUGAUGACCAUGAGGCACACAUUUUACUGAGGGCACUGGAAGUUGCAAAACAAAAGGUAUUGUCAUGCUCACAAUUCCACACCAUACUUCACAUCACUUGCAGCCUCUGGACAAGUGUGUUUAUGGUGCAUUUCAGACCUAUUACAACAGAGCUCUUGAUAGUUGGGUGAGAUCAAACCUAGGCAAAAUAGCCAUUAUAUACAAAAUCCCUGGAUGUGUCAGCAAUAACACCAUAGACUAUUUCUUCUGGAUUCAAGUUCACAGGGAUUUUCCCUUACAACAUAUUUUCUGUGUUUGAGCCAUCCAUGGCAUCAGAGAGGGCAAACUCUUAAGCUGCAGUCUGCUGCUCCAGAUGAUUCACCCAUGGUUUGAACCUCCAGCUCUGUGGAGCUGCCUUCACCAUGCCCUACACAUCCAAGUGUUCCACCAAGCCAGCCAGAUUCGGAACCCAAACUUACCUGAUGUGUCUCCUACUGAAAUUCUACCCUUACCCAAAAGUCAGCAUCCCAGGACACAAACAAAAUGAAAGUGCAUAAAAACAAGGAUACUGACUGAAACACCUGAAAACCAGGCAAUUGAAAGGGUUCAACAAGAGAGUAAAAAUAAACAGGGGAAAAAAGUAUAAUCA
rnacentral:lncRNA from 1 species